rnacentral:rRNA from 1 species
UACGAAGGGGGCUAGCGUUGUUCGGAUUUACUGGGCGUAAAGCGCACGUAGGCGGAUCUUUAAGUCAGAGGUGAAAAUCCCAAGGCUCAACCCUUGGAAACUGCCUUUUGAUACUGGGGGAUCUUGAGUCCGGGGAGAGGUGAGUGGAACUGCGAGUGUAAGAGGUGAAAAUUCGUAGAAUAUUCGCAAGAACACCAGUGGCGAAAGGCGGCCUCACUGGCCCCGGUACUGGACGCUGAGGUGCGAAAAGCGUGGGGAGCAAACAGG